UCUCUUUUGUCCACAGUUACUUGGAAUUGGAACUCAGACAGAUUGGGCACACCAUGCUUAUUGCAUCCAAAAUUUUUCACAUGAAAGUGGAAAACUCAGAUAGCAAUUUGGUGUGUUGAUGGAAGGACCCAAUAAAAAGCAUGUCAGGAUAAGUGCUUUGGAGGAAAAGCAAGACUUCAUCCAAUCGUCAGUAGAAAGCCUUGGUGGCUGCAGUUUCUGUGACUUACAAAAAGGAUACACAGGAGAAGAGAUAAAUGAAAAUCUGCCUUUGGAACUGGCAUUUCUAAAACCCAAUCUCCAGUCGUCUGCAGAAAACAUCACGGGUCUUGAAGAUGAAAAGAGAAAACUAACUCUGAUGAUCAAAAGUCUCAAGGAAGAAAGGGAGCAACCCCUUUCCCAAAAAGAUUUGCUGAUAAAGGCCUUGAUAGCUCAAAACAGGUGCUUGAAUUUUGUUUGAAAUUAGCCAGGCCAAUGUCCCUUCCUGUGUUCUGGACUGUUGACAUAUUUCCUCAGCCUUAGCUGGUUUCCAAUCAACAAUGCUUUAUUGAUUGAUAUUUUGCUGAUAUAUAAGACAGUAAUGUCAUUAGAUUUUUAAAAAUUUUUAUUUUAUAUUGGAGCAGAGUUGAUUUACAAUGUUGUGCUAUUUUCAGGUGUACAGCAAAGUGAUUCAGUUAUACAUAUACAUAUAUCCAUUCUUUUUUCAGAUUCUUUUCCCAUAUAGGAUAUUACAGAAUAUUGAGUAGAGUUCCCUGUGCUAUACAGUAGGUCCUUGUUGAUUAUCUAUUUCAUACAUAGUACUGUUGUGUGUCUAUGUUAAUCCCAACCUACUAAUUUAUCCCUCCCCCACUUCCCCUUUGGUAACCAUGUUUGUUUUCUAUGUUUGUGAGUCUGUUACUCUUUUGCAAAUAAGUUCAUUUAUAUCAUUUUUUUAGAUUCCACAUAUAAGUGACAUCAUAUAUUUGUCUUAGCCUGACUUACUUCACUUAGUAUGAUAAUCUCUAGAUCCAUUAGAUUUUGCUUAACAAUUAUAAAUUGUGGGAGAUGGUGACUUAAGUAAAUUCAAAAUGUGAUGCUGUGGUAAUCUACUAAACCUCAAUGUAACAACAAAGAAAUUAAUUUGUAAAAACCUGCACCAUGACUACUCUUUCAAAGGACGGAAUUGGUCCACUAAAGAUUUCCUGAAACCAACUGGAGAAUCUGUAGAUUACCUGCAAUCUCUUCACAGCCCCAGGCCAGCUUUGUUCCCUUUGGAAUUCAAAGAGCUUUGCAUUUGCUGGCCUUUACUGUUAGGGUGAAUGAGUUUAAGAAAUCACAAACCAAUUAAAAUACUGGUGUAGCAAAACAAAUUUGGAAAGGCAAAUGUGUAACCACACACACAAAAAACGUUAAUGGUUUGGGAUUGUUUGCUUUUUUUGACUUUCCAUGCGACCAUUUUCAUCGGUACGACGAACUGAGAUUUAACUACCAAUGUUUUUGAAGAAUAAUUAUAUAUAUAUUUAAAAUUGUAACACCUUAAAAAUAUAUAGUAUACUUACUGUGCUCUGGGAUAUUUUAAGGAAAAUAAAUCCAUCCUUUUUUUUUUUUUUUUUUUUUUUUUUUUUUUUUGCUUUUGGGAGGGUAUUAACAUGAUACAGCUCACAAUGGUGAAGAAGUGAGGUCUCCUGCCAUCAGCAUGGGAGGGAGCCACCUUGGAAGCAGCCCUUCCAGCCUUCGGCUGAAGGUGACCCCACCUGAAGGCUGACAUACUCACUGCUACCUCGAGAGACCCUGAGCCACCCAGAGACCCUGUUCUCAAAUUCUUCAACUGUGAGAAAAUAAAUGUUUGUUAUUGUAAGCCACUAAAAAAACAAAAUAAAAUAAACUAUGUUGUUGGAGUUUAAUCACUGUCACAAAGUAUACAGGACUUCUAGCAAAGACUGCAAGGAUGGUAGAAACACUAUUACUCUCUUGCACUGGGAAAAAAUAGAAAACUAUUAAGACAGCUUUAUUCCAUAGGCCUGGCUGCCUUCUUGGAUGAUUUAAUUAAGUGAUUAUUUGUUAAACACCUAGAAUUUUUAAAGUAUCCACUGUCGUGGAUAAAGAAAAAAACUUGACAGCAAACUAUAUGUUUGUCAGAAACUGCCUUUUUAUAUACCUGCCUUCGUACCUCUCUCCGUUUGCCCCGGAGACAUUUCUUCCCAUUUAAUCUUUACAUUUCUCAGUAUUGCAGAAGUUCAGGACUGGACGAGUCAAUCCCGUUGUUCUCUUUUCCUCAUUUGUAAAAUGGUAACCAAAAGCUCAUCUCUCUUCCUACCUCACUGGGAUGAGACAGAGUUGACUGUUUUAACAGAUACAAAACUGUAGAAUCACUCUCUUUAUUUAGGGAUUCCAAUGCAUUUAAUUGUUUUGGUGGGGAAGAGGUGACAUUCUGAUUGCUAGAGUUUGAACUAAGAUGAUGGAGAAGGACAGAACUGGAUGUGGUAGCCAAAUGAAUAGGUGGAGUUUAGUUAAUUGCUUACAUAAUGAUUUCAGAGGCCAUAAAGGCUCUCUUAUGCCUAAAAAUUAAACUUCUCUGUAAUGUCUGAAAACUUCAUUCCUUUCCAGCUGAAGGCUCUCUCUGUUAAAAUACAGAACAAACGCCCUGUUUUAUCAGUCAUUUAUACUUUUGUGGAAGUGUGUUUAGAUUCUUUCUUGGAAUGGAUUUUGAUAGACAGAAGGAUAUUGGAAACUGUGUGAAGAAGUAGAGACAAAAGAAGCAUAAGGUUGUCCAAGACACCUUCAGACACACUGCCUGUUUUUCAGUUUGGCCAAUGAUUGGUGUGAUACAAAAAAUAGAUUCUGGUUGACUAAGAAAUUGACUGACAAAUACUUUUUCUAUAACUUAAAAAAGGAAUUUCAAGCUUACAGAAAGGUUAAAAUAGUACAAAAAGUCCUAUAUACUCUUUAUUCCCACUUGAUAAGAGCCCUUACUUGCUCCAACAUUGUCUUUCCCCAACUGGUCAUUCAUUAUGCCUAGACUUUGCUUAGAUUUGAGUUUCCAGCUGCUAUCACUUCUCUUUUUUUUUCCCCAGAGAACUUCCUUUAGUAUUUCUUUUAC